AGAUCACGAGGUCAGAUCGAGACCAUCCUGGCUAACAUGGUGAAACCCUGUCUGUACUAAAAAUACAAAAAAUUAGCCGGGCAUGGUGGUGGGCGCCUGUGGUCCCAGUUACUCGGGAGGCUAAGGCAGGGGAAUGGCGUGAACCCAGGAGGCGGAGCUUGCAGUGAGCGGAGAUCGCGCCACUGCACUCCAGCCUAGGUGACAGAGCGAGACUCCGUCUUAAAAAAAAAAAAAAAAAAAAAAAUUAGCCCAGCAUGGUGGCCCUUGCCUGUGGCCCCAGCUGCUCGGGAGGCUGAGGUGGGAGGAUCACUUGAGGCCAGGGGUUUGAGGCUGCAAUGAGCCACGACUGUGCCACUGCACUCCAGCCGGAGUGACAGAGCAAGACCCUGCCUCAAAAGAAAAAAAAAGUUUGAUAGGGCAUGUGGAACAAGAGACAGGACCUGAGGGAAGAGCAUGAAUGAAGGUAUUGAAGAGUAGAGGGACACUGUGUGUUGGGAACUGAGUGGUGUGGACUGCACAGUGGUGGGAGGAAGGGAAGAGGAGAGUUUCCAAAAAAUAGUUGGGACCAGACUGGGAAAGGCCUUGAAUGCCUUCCCAAGGAGUUAGGAAUUUAUUCCACACCUGGUGCCCAUGAAGGAAGCAGAUUGCUUCAAGGUUAAGCUCAGGCUUUGGAGACAGACUCUCCAGGUUUGGAUUCAGGCCCUGUCACUUAUUUGCCAUGGGGCUGAGUUCACCCAGCCUCAGUUUCUUCAUCUGUAAAAUAGGAGUGAUAAUCACAGGAUUGUUGUGGGGUUUCAAUGAGAGAAUGCGUGUAAAAUGUUUCGUACAAUUACUGCCACUUAUUUCUCAAUAAUUGCUGGCUUUGGUCAUUAAUAAAAGAGGGAAACAACAUUAUCAGAUCUGUAUUUAGAAGGAGUCUGGCAGAUAGGGACAGAUUUGGGCCAAAAUCUCAAGCCAGUAUUUUUCAAGGGUACACUAAACCUUGGUACAUAUCUAAUUAUAAUACAUUUUUUAAAAGGGUUAAAUGAGUACAAUUGAAACGGCAGAGUUCUUUUUUUUUGUUUGUUUGUUUUGAGACAGAGUCUAACUCUGUUGCCUAGGCUGGAGUACAACGGCACGGUCCUGGCUCACUGAAACCUCCGCCUCCCAAGUUCAAGCAAUUAUUCUGCCUCAACCUCCCAAGUAGCUAGGACUACAGGCACGUGCCACCACACCUGGCUAAUCUUUGUAUUUUUAGUAGAGAUGGGGUUUCACCAUGUUGGCCAGGCUGGUUUCGAACUCCUGACCUCGUGAUCCACCCACCUUGGCCUCCCAAAGUGCUGGGAUUACAGGCAUGAGCCACCAUGCCCAGCCAGUUGUUUUUUUAGGAAAGUCAUUGUAGUACACAUGGCUAGCCACACAUGGCAGGCGUGCUGGCACCCAGAGAAAGAGAAAGCCAAAGCUGUCCAUCUUGCAGACCGACAGGAGGGAGCCAGGACACAGCUGGGCUUGCUCGUGCCCAGAGAGAAAGAGUUAAGCUGCUUAACCUGAAGGCAAGGGAGAGUCGGCUGCACAGCUGUGUUGGGGGGCAGCUGGCUCAAGCAGCUGAGACAGGGCUAAUAGUGUUAAGAGUAAGCUGCUAAUAAGAGAGCUAGUGUAAGAAAGCUGUUAAUGAGAGCUGCUGCUGAAUAAAACUAUCUUUCACCUGCCUACAGCCCCCCCACCCGGAAUAUUCUUUCUGCUUACCCACCCACUCCCCUCAGACUUCAGCAUGGGCAGGACCUGGACCCUGGGAUCUGACACACAUCUCUACUAAAAAUACAAAAAUUAGCCAGUAUGGUGGCACAUGCCUGUAAUUCCAGCUACCAGGGUGGCUGAGGCAUGAUGAUCACCUGAACCCAGGAGUCAGAGGUUGCAGUGAGCUAAGACUGUGUCACUGCACUCUAGCCUGGGCAACAGAGCCUGACCCUGUGUCAAGACAAAAAAAACUUAAAGACCAUUUGUCCAGUAUAAACUCUUUCAAAAUAUAUACUCAAGCAUAGAAAAAAAGUCUAGAAAUGUCAUCAAUGGUAAUUUCAGGAAAGAAUUUUAAGGUGACGUUUUUUGGUUAUCUGCAUUUUUUUUUCUUUUAUUUUUUUGAGAUAGGGUCUUGCUGUGUCACCCAGGCUGGAGUGCAGUGAUGCGAUCAGGGCUCACUGCAGCCUUGACCUCCCAGGCUUAAGCCAUCCUCCCACCUCAGUCUCCUGAGUAGCUGGGACUACAGGCGCAAGCCACCACACCUGGCUAAUUUUUGCAUUCUUGUAUUUUUUGCAAAGAUGGGGUUUUGCCAUGUUGCCCAAGCUGGUCUCAAGCGAUCCGCCCACCUUGGCCUCCCAGAGUGCUGGGAUUACAAGUGUGACCUAUGUGUGCCAGGCCUACGUUUUCUUUUCUGUAAUGACCAUGACCAUGGAUUUCAUGUACCAACAUUUUUCUAGCAAUAAUAUUUACAAAGCAUACUAUGAAAAAUGUUCAGAGAAAAAGAAGAAUACACAACUGUAAAAAUCAUAUAUAACUAGUUUUCUUUUUGUUUGUUUUUAAAGCCAAAAAAGAAACAAAGUAUAGAUUGUCCAGGAAGAUAGUUACUUCCACUUUGUGUUUCUCUGGUGAACUCAUUAGGAACUCUAAAAAGUUCCAGGAGGGCUGGGCAUGGUGGCUCAUGCCUGUAAUCCCAGCACUUUGGGAGGCCGAGGUGGGCAGAUCACGAGGUCAGGAGAUUGAGACCAUCCUGGCUAACACGGUGAAACCCUGUCUCUACUAAAAAUACAAAAAAUUACCCAGGCAUGGUGGCAGGCGCCUGUAAUCCCAGGUACUCAGGAGGCUGAGGCAGGAGAAUCGCUUGAACCCGGGAGGCAGAGGUUGCAGUGAGCCAAAAUCGUGCCACUGCAUUCCAGCCUGGGCGAGAGUGAGACUCUGCCUCAAAAAAAAAAAAAAAAAAAAAUGCAGAAGUAGAAUCAUGGGGUCAAAGUACCCUUGCUUUAACUUCUGGUUCAGAUAAUUUUAACAACUUACAUUGUCACCAGCAAGGUCUUUGACUAUAUGAGCAAGUCUCACGUUAAAGCAUUUCUCAUUUGACAUUAGCUGCCCAGCUUUCCGCUGAUACGUUGACUCCAGGAGGCUCCUUGAGUUCUGAGUGUUUGGCUGGCCUCUGGUGGCCCCAUUAUUAUUUUCUGCCAGGUGAAGGUCAGUCACCUGCACACAGAUCUCAUCACUCAUGAUAUGCUGCAGCUGGAAUCAAAGGCAAGCUGUUAGUGAACACAAAACAUUUCUCCAUUACACAGUCAACGUUCCUUUGACUCAACUCAAAAAAGGUUUUGUUUUUUUUUUGGCUGGCAAUUUUAGAAAAUUCAUCACACAAACCACUGUAUCAUUUUCUCGGACAAUAAUCAAUCCAAGAUUUUCAACCAUAUCUGUGGUCCAUUGUAAAACUUUCAUCUCUAUUUAAAAUAAAAAUCAUAGAGAACUCAGGUUAAUGUGCUGUUUAAAAUUCUAAGGAUCUUUAAAUAAUUUUCCAUGGGUCAUAUUUUUAUUGCAUUUUAAAAUCAUUUACAAUUUGCUUUCAUCCAUAUUCUCUCUCAUUUGAUCCUCACAACUGCCCUGGGAAGCAGGUUGGAGAGAGAGUUGGGCCUGUUAGGAGAGAAAUUUACACAGUGCAUAAGAAAGCUCACUGUGAGCUGGGGUGAGGAGGGGAGACUUGGAGAAUCGUGAAGCAAUAUCUAUGUCAAGAUUCCCAGCCCAACAGCAAAGCCUGAAACUCAUUAGGUAUUUAAGAAAUAGCUGCUGAGUUAUUGCCUAGAGGUGCUCAGCUGAAGAAGGAGGGUU
rnacentral:lncRNA from 10 species